rnacentral:tRNA from 1 species
GAGGAUAUAGCUUAACUGGUAGAGUGCAUGCCUAGCACGCACAAGGUCCUGGGUCCAAUCCCCGGUACCUCCU